UCCCCGCCGCGCUCGGAGCUGGCGCGGUCACGGCCUCCCUGCGCAGAGGUGGUGCACACACCGAAUAGGUUGCGCUCCAGGGGCGCCGAGCCCGCUGUGCCUGCGCGCAAGGCCCCUCUGUCCCGCGCCGGCCAGCCUCGAACUUCGGGGACUGAAAGCCGGGGUAAGGGAGCACGCGGGAGGGAAGGCCUGUCCCCUCUUCGCGGCCCCGGCCGAGAGGGGGAUCGCCGGCCUUUGGCAGCGGCCGAACACCCACCUGCCGAGCGGGAAGCCCGUGAGCGCUCCGAGAGGCCGCGGGAACCGGGCCCGCCCUCCGCGGGAGGGACCUCGGCGCGAGGAACGGCGAGGAGGGGCCGCGCUUACAUGUUUGUGCAGCGCCGCUUCACCUGGCCGCGAGUUUGAUUUCAGGGUGUGGCCUCAGGUAGGACAUAGCGAAAGCAGAGCCUGGGAAAAAUCGCCCAGGGGUGCAGAGGCCGCGCGACAAGGAGCCCCGCUGCCAGAGAGACGACCCCUGCCCAGCGCUUUCCCUCCAAUGCUCGAGUAGCCUUGGAGCCCUGACGCUGCCACUCCCGCAGCUGUCCGCCCGCCAAGCAAAGACCCGACCUGGAUUAUCCGCUGAGCACUGGCUGGUGAUUCUUUGUCUUUCCUCUGACUGGACACUGUUGGCCUUACUCUGUUAGACAAAGUGACCUCCAGUGGCUGCCCAGGAAGCUGACUACUGAGUUAAGGAUGGGACCAUGCAAGGAUGGGACCAUGCAAGGCACAACUCAGCUCUGCCCAGGAGGAGAAGGCAGAAGUGUGGAGCCCUGAGCAUCUGCUUCACCAUGCCUGGUGUUCCUGCUCCUGGGCCUGUCUCCAAACCUCCCCAGGACUGAGAGUUGCACCUCUUCCCACCUUUCCAGAUCCCAGACACAUCCUCCUCCAGCAAGAUCCACUCCAGUGGAUUAUAAAAGUCUUCUUAUCCAGCCUGAACCUGGUGACAGAGUGAUAGGAGAUGAAAUCAAGACCUAGAGACAUGAAGUAACUUAUCCAAGUCACCAGGAAGAGGCAACACCAGGCUUGACACUCACCCUGCUGACUCUGCACUGUUAACCCUGUCAUCCUGUGUCUUGCUACACUUAGGUAUCUCCCUGAGCACCCAUCUUUUGCAGAGACCUGAAGCUUGAAGCUUCUUCCACAAGUGUUUUUUCAUUCUUAUCUUUUUUUCCCUUUGGUCCAUCUGUAUAAAGUCUAUGUUAAGAAUCAUCUUCUAGUAUUGGUUUAAUUUUAUAAAUUAUCUGGACUGGAUGAGUCAUGGCUGACAAUUUCAGCGAUGAGUCUGGGGCCCAGAGUGGGCGGAAGGACAAAACCACCCAGGUGCUGACUGUGGCUCUGAGAUCAGCUUGUUUCUGGCGGGGUUGACCCCAUGCUCAGCUUUCCUUUACAUUGUCUAUCAAAGGGUUAUAAGCUUCCCCAAGGCAAGGGUUCUGUCCCAUUUAUCUAUCAGCACUUUUCCCCACCCAUCUUCUGGCCACCAGUGUUUUGUACUUAGUAAGCACACAAUCCCUACCACCUGCCUCAAGUCAGGUAGCCAGAAAAAGCACUGCCUGGAUCCCACAUCUUGACAGAUGCUGUGGUCUGAAUGUGUACCCCAAAGUUCAUGUGUUAGAAACUUACUCCCCAAUGCAAUAAGACUGAAGAGGUGGGAACUUCAAGAAGUGUUUGGGUCUUGAGGGCCCUCACAAAUGAAUUAAUGUCUCCAGCAUAAGAGUUUAUUACAAAAGUGAGUUAGGCCCUCUCUCUUAUUUGGGAGAGGGUAGUGGGGACUGAACCCAGGGGCACUUAACCACUGAGCUAUACCCCCAGCUCCUUUUUAUUUUUAUUUUGAGACAGAGUCUGGCUAAGUUGUUUAGGGCCUAAGUUGCUAAGGCUGGCCUUGAACUUGUGAUCUUCCUGCCUCAGCCUUGGGAGCUGCUGGGAUUAUAGGCAUGAGCCACCACUCCUGGAGAGUUAGGCCCUCUCUUACUCU